UACGGAGGGCGCAAGCGUUGUUCGGAAUCACUGGGCGUAAAGCGCACGUAGGCGGCUUCUUAAGUCAGGGGUGAAAUCCUGGAGCUCAACUCCAGAACUGCCUCUGAUACUGAGGAGCUUGAGUCCGGGAGAGGUGAGUGGAACUCCGAGUGUAGAGGUGAAAUUCGUAGAUAUUCGGAAGAACACCAGUGGCGAAGGCGGCUCACUGGCCCGGUACUGACGCUGAGGUGCGAAAGCGUGGGGAGCAAACAGG
rnacentral:rRNA from 1 species